AAUUCGAUGCAACGCGAAGAACCUUACCUGGUCUUGACAUCCACAGAACUUUCCAGAGAUGGAUUGGUGCCUUCGGGAACUGUGAGACAGGUGCUGCAUGGCUGUCGUCAGCUCGUGUUGUGAAAUGUUGGGUUAAGUCCCGCAACGAGCGCAACCCUUAUCCUUUGUUGCCAGCGAUUAGGUCGGGAACUCAAAGGAGACUGCCAGUGAUAAACUGGAGGAAGGUGGGGAUGACGUCAAGUCAUCAUGGCCCUUACGACCAGGGCUACACACGUGCUACAAUGGCGCAUACAAAGAGAAGCGACCUCGCGAGAGCAAGCGGACCUCAUAAAGUGCGUCGUAGUCCGGAUUGGAGUCUGCAACUCGACUCCAUGAAGUCGGAAUCGCUAGUAAUCGUGGAUCAGAAUGCCACGGUGAAUACGUUCCCGGGCCUUGUACACACCGCCCGUCACACCAUGGGAGUGGGUUGCAAAAGAAGUAGGUAGCUUAACCUUCGGGAGGGCGCUUACCACUUUGUGAUUCAUGACUGGGGUGAAGUCGUAACAAGGUAACCGUAGGGGAACCUGCGGUUGGAUCACCUCCUUA
rnacentral:rRNA from 1 species